rnacentral:rRNA from 1 species
AGUGAACGCUGGCGGUAGGCCUAACACAUGCAAGUCGAACGGCAGCACAGUAAGAGCUUGCUCUUACGGGUGGCGAGUGGCGGACGGGUGAGGAAUAAAUCGGAAUCUACUUUUUCGUGGGGGAUAACGUAGGGAAACUUACGCUAAUACCGCAUACGACCUACGGGUGAAAGCAGGGGAUCUUCGGACCUUGCGCGAUUGAAUGAGCCGAUGUCGGAUUAGCUAGUUGGCGGGGUAAAGGCCCACCAAGGCGACGAUCCGUAGCUGGUCUGAGAGGAUGAUCAGCCACACUGGAACUGAGACACGGUCCAGACUCCUACGGGAGGCAGCAGUGGGGAAUAUUGGACAAUGGGCGCAAGCCUGAUCCAGCCAUACCGCGUGGGUGAAGAAGGCCUUCGGGUUGUAAAGCCCUUUUGUUGGGAAAGAAAAGCAGCAGGUUAAUACCCCGCUGUUCUGACGGUACCCAAAGAAUAAGCACCGGCUAACUUCGUGC